ensembl:rRNA 5S_rRNA 5S ribosomal RNA
AUCCGUGGCUAUACGAGUACGAAUGCGCCUGAUCGCGUCAGAUUUCGGAAGCUAUGCAGGGUCGGGGCUUGGUAGUACUGGGUGGGAGACCGCCUGGGAAUACCGGGUGUGCAGUGUUUU